UACGGAGGGUGCGAGCGUUGUCCGGAAUCACUGGGCGUAAAGGGCGCGUAGGCGGCUUGGGAAGUCUGUGGUGAAAGCUCGUGGCUCAACUGCGAGUCGGCCAUAGAUACUCCUAAGCUCGAGUCGACUAGAGGCAGAUGGAAUUCCGGGUGUAGCGGUGGAAUGCGUAGAGAUCAGGAAGAACAUCGGUGGCGAAGGCGCUCUGGCUGGACCAUAACUGACACUCAGGGACGAAAGCUAGGGAGCGAAUGGG
rnacentral:rRNA from 1 species